UGACAGUGAAAAGAUUUACACUUUCAUAAUACGGAGCUACAAUCCGCUGCUUUCUCAUCAGCCACACUGCC
rnacentral:tRNA from 1 species